GACGAACGCUGGCGGCGUGCUUAACACAUGCAAGUCGAACGCGCCUGUCCUCUGGGUUUCUGGGGGGUGGGUGAGUGGCGAACGGGUGAGUAACACGUGAGUAACCUGCCCCCUUCUUCGGGAUAACGGUCUGAAAGGGCUGCUAAUACCGGGUAUUCACUGGUCUCCGCAUGGGGUCUGGUGGAAAGGUUUUUUUCUGGUGGGGGAUGGGCUCGCGGCCUAUCAGCUUGUUGGUGGGGUGAUGGCCCACCAAGGCUUUGACGGGUAGCCGGCCUGAGAGGGUGACCGGUCACAUUGGGACUGAGAUACGGCCCAGACUCCUACGGGAGGCAGCAGUGGGGAAUAUUGCACAAUGGGCGCAAGCCUGAUGCAGCGACGCCGCGUGAGGGAUGGAGGCCUUCGGGCUGUGAACCUCUUUCGCCCGUGGUCAAGCCGCGACGUGGGUCGUGGUGAGGGUAGUGGGUAAAGAAGCGCCGGCUAACUACGUG
rnacentral:rRNA from 1 species